rnacentral:lncRNA from 1 species
AUAGAUUUUUUUUUAAUAGAAAAAUACUAUAUUAUAUUAGUAGGGUUACUAUACUCUUAUAAGUAUAGAAUUAAUCCUUCGUACUCAUAAGUUGUUUUCAAUGAUAGAACUUCUGAAUCGACGAUACACUUCAUUAAAUAUGGUCUAUAAUAGUUAAAACUUCUAAAAAAUAAAUUUUAUAAUUUUUCACAAUCAUAAUAAUGUCCAUCAAACAUGCAUAAAAUAAACGGUCAAAAUCGAUCGACGUCCUAAAAAUGGAUGAUCGGAUUCUUCAAUUUAAGAUCGGAGUUAUUAAUUUUUAUCUAGAUAGUGAAUAGAAUUUUUCAUUAAAAAUUCAUCAAUUCCGAUUUUUUUGUACCGUUAAACUAAAAAGUAUUCCAUACCCGCCAUUAAAAAUUAUCAAUUUUAAGAUCUUUGGAUCGCAAAGUAUAUGAUAUUAAAAAUUAUAAAAUUUGAUUUUUAGAAAUUUUAAAUACUCUAGAUAAUUUUUAACGGUAUGCAUCAUUGAUUCGGAAGUUCUAUCAUUGAAAACGACAUAUGAGUAUGAAGGCAAUCGUACUCAUAAGAGUAUAGUAGGCGAACUCAUAUAUAUACAUAUAUUAUAAGCUCAAUUUGUAACUAGUGGAGGUAAUUAAUUAAUUACACCCACACUAGUAACUAUAAUAACGGUUCUUCAACGGCUACAUGUAGCAAGACUAAUUAAGACAUAUAGGUGUCAAUAACUUUUUCACUCAAAACAUCCAUUGAAAUAAUAUAAAUAUAAUAUAUACAUAUAUACAUAUGGUCAUAAAUAGAUUAGAUGUUUUUAAUAUGUUUUGGUGAAUAACUAAUUUUAACCAAAAAAAAGAGGGAAAAAAAAGUAAUCUUAUCAUGCUCAAUUAGCCUUUUGUUUCCUCUUUUAUUGAUUUUAACUCCCCAACUGCCUCUACCCCACACGACAACAACAACAACAAUAAUAAUAAUAAUAAUCAAUACAAUAGACUUGUUCUCUCCCUUUGGUGUUAUAUAUGCUCUCUCCUUUCUUAUUAUAUAUAUAUAGACACAGGUUCUUUGAGAAGCGCUUUCUUUGUAUGUGCAAAUUAAUAGCAACUCCUCCAAAGCUCAUCUAAUGGAGGAUUCAAUGAGCUCUUAUGUGAACAGUGCUCUCUACAGCAAAGAAGCCUCAGCAACAUCCUCUGAGGAGAGUGGAUGGACCAUGUACAUAGAGGAUUUUUUGGCUUCAGAGGAGAAGAGGAGAGGUGCUUUUGAUCUCUCUUCAUCAAGUGAGGCCUCCUCCAUGGUCUCUGAUGCUGCUUCAUCUGCUGCAUGGAAGCAGCAGCAGCAGCAGCAGCCGAGCGCGAGCGUCGACGCAGCGGCGGCGGUCGGAAAGAGGCUGAUCAGGUUGAAGAAGAAGAGGGUGUGGGGGAACUUAGAAGAAGACCCUUUGGAGGACACUGCUAGCUCUCCUGUAAAUAGCCCUAAGGUUUCAAUAAAAAUUAAAAUCCUUACCCUUUAGUUUUUUUUUUUUUUUUUCUUUUCUUUUCCUGGUAUUUAUCUUUGUUUUGAUUAAGUUUAUGCCCUUAUUAAUUUGGUAUUUAUGGUGUUUUAGGUUCUUUGUUGAUACUUUUUUUUGGUUUUGUUUGGGGAUUAACAGGUUAGUGGUUUGACCCACCCUGAUUUGAACACAAUGAAGAAGGAUGAGAAUAGGGAGAUUUCCAAGGUGAUAUCAUCUCAUAUCUUUUGAUCUUUAAUUUCUUGUUGGUUUAUUGCUCCUAUUUUUUGCCUACCGGUAAGAUUUGAAUAUAUAUAUAUAUAUAUAUAUAUAUAUGGGGGUUUUUAUGAGACAAAUAUUUUUCUCAUAUUUCUAACGUAUUUGCUAUUAGAGAACAGUAUUUUUAAUAUUUUAUAAUAUGUAUAAUUUUAUUAAUUUUCGCUCGCCAUAAUUUCAAGACAGAAAGUUGAAACAUAUAUAUAGGAGAAAAAAACUAAAUGAACCUAGAAAUUUGGUCGAAUUAAAUUGAACUCAGAAUCUCAAGUUUUGAUACGAUAAGACUUAUUAGAUCAGAAUCUCAAGUUUUGAUAUGAUAAGAAAAUGACUUAUUAGAGAGCAUAUAUUACUUAAUUUGGUGUAUUAUAUUAUAUUCAAUAGAUUUUGCUUCAUGUGUAACCAAACAAAAAAGUUCUCCUCUCUCUCUCUCUCUCUCUCUCUCUCUCUCUAUUGGUCUUGCAGGAGGUGGUGGCUGCAGGCUAUGGAAAUGAUUCUGUACUUGGCAGGGAAGUUGUAAGUCAGUUGGGUCUUGUUGAUAGGGCAAGUAAUGAUUGUACAGAAUUAAAGAAGAGGGGACUAUGUUUAGUUCCCAUGUCCAUGCUUGUAGAUUAUCUUGGGUAAAUCUUCAACUAUAAUUAAUUAAUAUAUGGAACUUUAUUCUCUCUCUCUCUCUCUCUCUAUUGUGUACAUGUGCAUGAGCAUAUAUGGUGGUUUGGUGUAGGUUACACCUUUCUUUGUGCUCAAAUGAUAAUUCCCCUCCCUUAAAGUAUCAUUAAAGCUAGUGUUAGUUGCAUAAUAUGUAAUUCCCAACUUGAUGUAUACGCCUUCUUAAUUAAUAUCAAAGUGGAGGACAUAAAGAGGGAAGGGUUGAUUAUUAAUAUCGAAAAGCCUACAAUAGUGUUUAAUUUAAAACUAUAGAAACAUAUAAAAUUUGACAGUUAAAACUAUAUAUAUAUAUAUCCCUAUUGCCGUGUAAUACGAUAUCUUUAAUACGAUGGUUAAGAUUUCACGGUUAAAGGUAUUUCUAUAUUGUUUUCUAUCAGAUCAAUUUAAUGGACGCGUGACAUGGUAUCAAAGCCAGCUUUAAACCCCUCUAUUCUUAGAGCUGGUCCAAAUUAGUUCAAUAUCUUUUUUCUUUUUUUUUAAGGUUCAGGGAUAUAUAUUAACUUCUCUACCUAUGGCCAAGCAUGAUUAAAAGGAAAUGAGAUAUCUAAAGGUAAAGGAAAUAAAGAAUAGUUUUAGAGAGAGGUUGAUUUAAAUGAAAUAGUUCUACUAGAACAAUUCUACAAUUUGGUCCAUAAUUAAUCAGCAAUAGGUCAAGAUGAUCUUGAAGAAAAGAUUAAUAAUUAGUGUCCUUAUAUCUUCAAAUCUUGAGGAUUCACACCUGAACAAGUCUUUUCAAUUGAUUCGAGGUCAUUUGUGCAAAAUCAGCUUUAAUUCUACUUGAGAAGUUAACAUUUAAUUAAGAGGCCGUUAAUUGCAUAAUAUAUAUACAAUGCAUAGGAUCUAGUAGCUAGGCAAUUCAAUCCAGUUGUUGUAGAUAAUCCAUAGGGGAAUUAAUUAGCACUAAGUAAACAAUUCAUUAGUGAGAAUAAAUCCCUUUUAGGAGAAUACUUAUUCAAGCUAUAUAUAUGUUACAAUAUCUUAAAUCCCAUGUCCAUUAAUUGUACUCUUCAAAUUAAGAACUCUUCAAAGGUAUCAAAGUCAUUAGCAUUAUUAGAAAAGCAAAUUAUUCCUUUGUUGGCUAAUGUAUGUAUAUAUAUAUAUAUAUAUAUAAAUAUAAAUAUAUGCUUAGUGGCACUGAGGACUAAUUAAUUAAGCUAGUCAAUCAUUAAUUUUAAACCUUAGUGUCUACAUAGCAACUGAAUGGAUUAGUUUAAAUAGAAUUCAAUUGUAUUAUUUAUGUACAUAAGAAAGGCUAUUGCAGGCCUUAAAGAGUAUACAACUACAUAUAGAAAAUAAUAGUGCAAAGACCUAUCCAUCUGCAUUGCCCUAAUUUGGUCUUAAGCUUGAGAGAAUUUGGACAAAAAACCCUUAAAAUGUGGCUUAAGAGCAACUUAUAGUAAUGGUGGUCUCUCACUAUUAUAAUGUAUAAAAUGAGUGGGAUUUGGAGAAUAAUUAAUCCAAGCUUGUUAUUUAAAUAACUGGUCAAGAGCUUAUUGUAUGAAGAUAAUUGUACAAGAUGACCACUAAAGAAUGCACUCAAAGAAUAAUACUACAUGUACAAACAAUAAGAAAAAUCAAGAAAGUGGAUGCAGUACUGCUUGAUCAAUGUAGUUAAAUUAGUUCAUUAAUUUAUCCUAUCUAGACGAUUCAUUUCUAAGUAAAUGGAUUGAGGUUUUAAUUUUAAAUGACGUAGAGGCUUAUUUAGUCUCGAACACAAAAUCUCCUGCUCUAGUGCUAUUUGAAAUCUCAGCUUGAUCGCAUAAUUCUACUCGUGUAGAAAUAUUGUUUUGAGUAGAGAAUUGUACGAAGAAGCAAGAAUUGCUUUUCGUUGUGUGUACGUAUAUAUCAACCACCUCUCAUUUUGUGGUUAUACUACUGUACUUGAUUACUCCAUGCUCAGUACAUUGUUGCGCUACCAUUAAGAAUCGGGUACAAAAAGAUAAGUUGGUUUGCGACUGGAAAUGUCAUUUCUAAACUACUAUAGCAAGACGGACUUAAGUGUGAGAGAACAGUACCCACCUAAUAGUUAGGUGCAACAAAUUGAAAAGAAAAAAAAAAUUUUUUUUUUUUUUUUCGGUGCUAAAUAGCGUUCGAAGCCAUCCAAAUCCCAUGGACCAGAAACCCCUCAAAUAGGAAAUCACUGUAUCCCAAUAUACUGACGUGACCGCCAAAGUAACUACGAAAUAAAAUAACAGAAUAAUAAAAUUUUAAAAAUUUUUUUAUUUUUUUGUUGAGGAUUUUGGACAUGCUGUUUUUUUUUUUUUUUUUUUUUUGAUAAAAAGGUAGCAUGCUACCCGCUUCAUUCAUAUAGUAGGUGAAUUAAGCAACAUGGGUGAGGCAUCAAGGCCUCAAGGUUGACGGAGGCAAAAAGAAAAAAAUAGGAGAACGGAUGUUGUUUGCAAAGUACAGCUGAUACCUCUAUACUGACUACGAGAUCUAACUAUAGCUCUACGGAUCAGGAAUACUCCACUGAGCUAUCAGAUGUUUGAUUUUGGACAUGUUGUUGAUGAGCAUAAUGGGGCAGACAUAGCUGUCACAGCAUGGGGAGAGGAGAUGAGAAGGGAGUAGCUGCACGUGCACAUGGAUCACUUGCAUGCCCACUCAUUGAAAUGCAUGCCCAAGACAUGGCAUUAGAAUUCUCAGAGCAUUCCCAUGAGGCUUGCCCUUUUGCUGUACUGAUGCCCUCCUAAUUACUUUGUCUCUGAUGUGAUGUUGGUGGGGACUCCUCUCUUGUGUGCAUUUCUCUUGUCAGGUCCCUGUGCUGAUCUCAUCAUCAUCAUAAUAAUUCACCAAUAACAAACCCAAUUUUUUUUUUUUUUUUUUAAGAGAAAGAUAGCACGUUAACUGAUUCGUUUAUUUCAUUUAGAAAUAAACUUAAUUAAAAAUAUGUAUCAACUAGAAUUUGAACUUGGGUCUCGAAUACCAACCACCAAACCCUUUGCCGCUUGCUCUAAGGACGGUCGGUCCCAAUCUCCAUUAGUAAGCACCUAAUAAGUUCCUAAAUAUGUUGUAGCUGUAAUAAUACCCUAACAUUUGUUAUAUGUAUGCAUAUAUAAGCAUGUACUAGUUUUUGCUAUCAUUGUUUAGUCAUUUGAAGCUUGUGUUAUGGCGGAAACCAGAUGAACUACUAUCAAUAUACAUUAAUAGGAGAGGUAACAAGUAGAAAUUUAAAGUAAAAAAAAAAAAAAAGAAGCAAUGUUUGAUAGAAUAGCAUGGUCAUGAAUAGGUGAACUAAUACAUUGCUCAUGAAAUAUUAGGUGAUAUGUGAAGUGAGAGGAAAUUAAAGAAGUUUAGGAAAAGGAAAAUGGAAGGUAGGAAGGAGACACAAGAAAUGGCUUCUAACCCAAUCAUUGCAGCAUCCUAUUGAUUGUAGAGAGUGAAAAAAAAAAAAAAAUCAGAACAAUCUACUCACAAGAAGAAAAUCUAUGGCUGUUAUUUAAUAAUUUUAUAUCAUCACUAGUACACAUAAAAUGCUUUUUAAUAGACCCCAAUAAUUUGAGAAUAUUUGUUAGGUUGCACACAAGGGAGUUGCAUACAGCUGGCUAUUUUGCUUAACUAUGCCUUAUAAAUGAAGGCAAAACUUGUAUUGAUUAGUGAUGUUAAGAUAAGGCAAAUAAAAUCUCAAAAUACACAACACCAUGAAAAACAACUUAGGAGUUAAAGAAUGUGUACCCUCAUGCUUCUGAACAUAAAUAACAUGAAAGAGAAGAUAUAUACUAAAAAGGCUUUUGCUUAUUUACCUCUUAAUACUAUCUCAAACAAACUUUGAAAGGAAAUAUAAAGUUGAUAAAUAAUUAGGGGCUUUUUCCUAACUUUAUAUCCUAUGGAUAGUCCAAUCAGCUAUCAAUUCCAACAAGAGUCCUACUAAAAAAAAGUGAAGCUACAAUAUUGCCAUGCCAGCUAGGGCAAGAACAUCAAUCAAAUCCACAAGUUAGUUGGGAACUAAUAUUGUCUCUACACAUGCAUUGACCUAUUUGCCCUUGAUGUUGGGAACAAUAUAUUUAUUUAUUCAAAAGAAGAAUUAUUGCACUGCAUCCUCAAACAAAAGCCUAAGGCCCGUUUGGUUAGGGGAUAAGCGGAGAUAACAAAAGUUAUUCUCGCUAUUCUGUCAAACGGAAUAAAAUUUGGCUAGGAUUUUUUAUUACGGUCAAAUCUUGCUAUUCCCGGUUAUCCCGGAAUAGCAAGAAAUUUGCUAUUCCACAAUUUUGGUGGAAUAGCACUAUUCUAAUGCUUAAUUUCAAACUUAAUUAAAAUUAUAAAUUAAAUUAAAACUAAAUUAUAUAAAUAUAAUAUGUUAUAUAUUAUAAUACAUUAUUUUUAUUAUAAAAUUAUUAAUUGUACUAUAUUAAUACAUAUUAUUUAUAUUUAAAUAUUAUAAUAAAAUUUAGAGUAAAUUAUAUUUAAAUAUUAUAAUAAAUUCUUUUUAUUAAAUUUAAAUUUAAGUAGAAUUUUUAAAAAAUUUAUAAAUUUAUUAUAAUAAAUUAUUUUUAUUAAUUGUUCCCACCCCUAUUUUUAUUUUAAAAAUUGAAAAAUUAAAAAUUUAAAUUUUUAAAAUUUAUAAUCUCAAAAUUAAAGUUUAUAAUUUUAAAUUUUAAAUUUUAAAUUUAAAUUUUGAUAUUUUAAUUUGAAAUUUAAAAUUUGAUAUUUUAUAUUUUUCAAAUUUAAAUUUGAUCUUAAAUUUAAAGUUUGAAAUUUAAAAUUUAAAAUUUUGAAUUUAAAAUUUGAGAUUUUAAAUUUCAAAAUUUGAAAUUUCAAAGUUAAAAUUUUAAAUUUAAAAAUAUAUAUUUAAAAAUUUAAAAAUUUAAAUUCAAAUAUAAUAAGAGGAUAAUAUGAUUAUUUUUUAUUUAUAAAACCCACUAUCUUUCUUAUUCUAUCUUACCUAACCAAACACUUUCUUUUUUAUUCCCAGAAAUAAUCAAAUUUUCAUCCAAACGCAAAAUUCAUCUAAUCCCCGCUUAUACCUCAAUUUAUAUCUAUCCUUAGAAUAGUCACUUUUUACUUAUCCUCGAACCAAACGAUACCUAAGAGCUUGUUUGGCCCCAGCUAUACAUGAAUU